AACGAACGCUGGCGGCAUGCCUAACACAUGCAAGUCGAACGAGACCUUCGGGUUUAGUGGCGCACGGGUGCGUAACGCGUGGGAACCUGCCUUUAGGUUCGGAAUAACUCAGAGAAAUUUGAGCUAAUACCGGAUGAUAUCUUCGGACCAAUGAUAUAUCGCCUUAAGAUGGGCCCGCGUUGGAUUAGCUAGUUGGUGGGGUAACGGCCUACCAAGGCGACGAUCCAUAGCUGGUCUGAGAGGAUGAUCAGCCACACUGGGACUGAGACACGGCCCAGACUCCUACGGGAGGCAGCAGUGGGGAAUAUUGGACAAUGGGCGAAAGCCUGAUCCAGCAAUGCCGCGUGAGUGAUGAAGGCCUUAGGGAUGUAAAGCUCUUUUAGCCGAGAUGAUAAUGACAGUAUCGGGAGAAUAAGCUCCGGCUAACUCCGUG
rnacentral:rRNA from 1 species